AGUGAACGCUGGCGGUAGGCCUAACACAUGCAAGUCGAACGGCAGCACAGUAAGAGCUUGCUCUUACGGGUGGCGAGUGGCGGACGGGUGAGGAAUACAUCGGAAUCUACUUUUUCGUGGGGGAUAACGUAGGGAAACUUACGCUAAUACCGCAUACGACCUACGGGUGAAAGCAGGGGAUCUUCGGACUUUGCGCUAUUGAUUGAGCCGAUGUCGGAUUAGCUAGUUGGCGGGGUAAAGGCCCACCAAGGCUACGAUCCGUAGCUGGUCUGAGAGGAUGAUCAGCCAAACUGGAACUGAGACACGGUCCAGACUCCUACGGGAGGCAGCAGUGGGGAAUAUUGGACAAUGGGCGCAAGCCUGAUCCAGCCAUACCGCGUGGGUGAAGAAGGCCUUCGGGUUGUAAAGCCCUUUUGUUGGGAAAGAAAAGCAGCAGGUUAAUACCCCGCUGUUCUGACGGUACCCAAAGAAUAAGCACCGGCUAACUUCGUG
rnacentral:rRNA from 1 species